rnacentral:rRNA from 1 species
GACGAACGCUGGCGGCGUGCUUAACACAUGCAAGUCGAACGGAAGGGCCCUGCUCUUGUGGGGUGCUCGAUUGGCGAACGGGUGAGUAACACGUGAGUAACCUGCCCUUGUCUUUGGGAUAACUUCAGGAAACUGGGGCUAAUACCGGAUAGGAGCUCCUGCUGCAUGGUGGGGGUUGGAAAGUUUCGGCGGUUGGGGAUGGACUCGCGGCUUAUCAGCUUGUUGGUGGGGUAGUGGCUUACCAAGGCUAUGACGGGUAGCCGGCCUGAGAGGGUGACCGGCCACAUUGGGACUGCGAUACGGCGCAGACUCGUACGGGAGGCAGCAGGGGGGAAUAUUGCACAAUGGGCGGACGCCUGAUGCAGCAACGCCGCGUGCGGGAUGACGGCCUACGGGUUGUAAACCGCUUUCGCCUGUGACGAAGCGUGAGUGACGGUAAUGGGUAAAGAAGCACCGGCUAACUACGUG